CUUCACUCCACAACCAGCGCAUUUCUUCAGGAUGUUCAUUCCACUGAAGGGCACGUGAAGCUCGUGUCCUUGACCAAACGACAGUGAAUAUGGGAAAGAAGAGUGGCAAACAAUAUACCAGCAGAUGAAUCAGAAUCAACCCUCGUUCCCGAACCUAAGCAGCAAUCCAUAGCAUCAAGCUUUGAAAGCUAAACACCAUAUCCUGCAAGCUCCCGCCACCAUAAAGAGACAACAGAGGCCAUAACACAAUAUCUGGCAAAGGAUAUGGU